GUUGUAUGGUUAAGUGACUAAGCGUACAUGGUGGAUGCCUUGGCAGUCAGAGGCGAUGAAGGACGUACUAACCUGCGAUAAGCUGUGAGAA
rnacentral:rRNA from 2 species